rnacentral:rRNA from 1 species
CUAGUUGGUGAGGUAACGGCUCACCAAGGCAACGAUCAGUAGCUGGUCUGAGAGGAUGAUCAGCCACACGGGCACUGAGACACGGGCCCGACUCCUACGGGAGGCAGCAGUAGGGAAUAUUGGACAAUGGGCGCAAGCCUGAUCCAGCCAUCCCGCGUGAAGGAUUAAGGCCCUAUGGGUUGUAAACUUCUUUUCUCUGGGAAUAAAAAGUGGGAUUCAUCCCGCCUUGAAGGUACCAGAGGAAUAAGCACCGGCUAACUCCGUGCCAGCAGCCGCGGUAAUACGGAGGGUGCAAGCGUUAUCCGGAUUCACUGGGUUUAAAGGGUGCGUAGGGGGCUUUGUAAGUCAGUGGUGAAAGCCCGGAGCUCAACUCCGGAACUGCCAUUGAUACUGCUUAGCUUGAAUCACGUCGAGGUGGAUGGAAUAUUACAUGUAGCGGUGAAAUGCUUAGAUAUGUAAUAGAACACCGAUUGCGAAGGCAGUUCACUAGGCGUGUAUUGACACUGAGGCACGAAAGCGUGGGGAUCAAACAGGAUUAGAUACCCUGGUAGUCCACGCCCUAAACGAUGUAAACUCGACAUUAGCGAUAUACAGUUAGUGUCCAAGCGAAAGCGUUAAGUUUACCACCUGGGAAGUACGACCGCAAGGUUGAAACUCAAAGGAAUUGACG